rnacentral:lncRNA from 1 species
UCUGGACUUUAAAAGAUCUCAAAAUACAUUUGCGUUUGUGAAAAAAAAAAUGUAUUUUAACAACAUAAUGGCUGACAAUACCGUGAGUUGCAAAGAAUUCCUUUGAUGGUGAUCUACAAAGUCCUCAGCAGUCCUAGUAGGGAUGCAGGGCUUCCAACCCAUUAGUCUCUCUUUUAUUUCAUUUAUUCAUUUUAUUUAAAAGCUCCCCUUCCCAAAAUCCACAAAGGAAGAAUAGAAAGCAAGCAUUAGUGUUUUCCACUUCCUUCUCUCUCAUGUUGUUGUUAACAGUAAUUUACAGUUGCUCAGUUACAUUGAGACGGCUGUGAUCUUUCUACCUAAAGUAAUAAAAAACAGUAUGUUGGUCCUACUAAUUUACUGCAUGCCAUAAAGGCAAACAAUUUGUACUGUACUAAAGGAAUAUUGCCGAGGUAUUUACUAAAAAGUGUUUAAUAUUGAAAAAAAAUCCUUAUCUUAAAGAAUUUCCUUCCUUGUCUCCUUACUUGCAUGGGAAAAUUGUGGCAGCAUUAGACAUAUUAAUCAGCUGUAAUCUGUAAGGUAGUGUACUGUUAUGAAUAUGAAGGAGUGCAACUGAGAAAUGUGCACCUGUUUCUUUCCUUCUUUUACUUGGGUUGUGCCAUUUGGGCAUGUUUCUAUCAUAAGCAACUCAGAAAAUCUGAAUACUUAUGGAGUGAACUGAAAUUUUGCUAUCUCUUUCAGUAGGGCAUGAAUUUUUCUCACAUGUGGCUAAUUUUUCUUUUUUUUGGGGGGGUGCAAUUCAGAUUGGAAUAUGGUUCUUCAAGUUACAAGAAGCAUUGGGAUUUUCCUUAUAAAAAUCAUAUCCUAAAGAUGAUCCUAGAGGUCUUUUCCAACCUUAAUGACUCCAUGAGUCUAUGAUUCUACGACGAAAACAAAUAAUUUUGCAGGAAACAGUCAAAAUGAAGAAUGAAGACAACCUCUGCCUCGUAUCACCGUGUGAUAGGAUGUCUCAAAAAUGCAAAAGUCUGGGAGGCAUGAGACCCUGUGUGUACCUUCAGGAACCACACUUUGCAAAUUGUCAUCUCAUUUCUUCCAUUCAUCAUGUGGCUUCCUUAUGCAGAGCCCCAAAUCUCCUGAGCUUCCAUGCACCAGAGUGUGACCACAGCUGCCACCUCUUGGACUCGUAAGGGACAGAGCUACAAGAAUGCAGAGAAGUUAACCUCUUAUUUUUCUCCGACUACAGCUGAGAAUGAUUUCAAGAAAUCGCUAUUGAGAAAUGCAUCAACAUAUUGCUGAUGCCUUUGGCCUGGUGAGUGAUGAUCUAAUUUCUGUUUAAUUGACCUGCAGCCAAUUUAGUUUUCAAUCAAAAUUUGAAAUGUCUCUUGUUUCUUAUAACGACCAGCUCACUCUACUAAAU